rnacentral:rRNA from 1 species
UACGUAGGGGGCGAGCGUUGUCCGGAGUUACUGGGCGUAAAGCGCGCGCAGGCGGCUCGGCAAGCAUGGCGUGAAAGCCCCCGGCUCAACCGGGGAGAGUCGUCGUGGACUGCCGAUCUUGAGUCAUCUAGGGGCAGCCGGAACAGAUGGUGGAGCGGUGAAAUGCGUAGAUAUCAUCUGGAACGCCAAUGGUGCAGACAGGCUGCUGGGGAUGUACUGACGCUGAGGCACGAAAGCCAGGGGAGCGAACGGG